rnacentral:rRNA from 1 species
UCCUACGUGAGGCAGCAGUCAGGAAUGUUUCUCAAUCGAUGCAAGCAAGCUGCAGGGACGCCGCGUGAGGGAUGGCGGCCUUCGGUUUGUAAACCUCUCUCUCCCAGCACGAAGGGUUUGGGCUUGACGGUACUGGGAGAAGAAGCACCGGCUAACUACGUGCCAGCAGCCGCGGUAAUACGUAGGGUGCGAGCGUUGUCCGGAAUUAUUGGGCGUAAAGAGCUCGUAGGCGGUGUGUCACGUCUGCCGUGAAAACCUACGGCUUAACCGUGGGCGUGCGGUGGAUACGGGCAUCACUUGAGUUCGGUAGGGGAGACUGGAAUUCCUGGUGUAGCGGUGGAAUGCGCAGAUAUCAGGAGGAACACCGGUGGCGAAGGCGGGUCUCUGGGCCGAUACUGACGCUGAGGAGCGAAAGCGUGGGGAGCGAACAGGAUUAGAUACCCUGGUAGUCCACGCUGUAAACGUUGGGCGCUAGGUGUGGGGUGCUGUUCACGUUUCCGUGCCGUAGCUAACGC